rnacentral:rRNA from 1 species
GACGAACGCUGGCGGCGUGCUUAACACAUGCAAGUCGAACGGAAAGGCCCUGCUUUUGUGGGGUGCUCGAGUGGCGAACGGGUGAGUAACACGUGAGUAACCUGCCCUUGACUUUGGGAUAACUUCAGGAAACUGGGGCUAAUACCGGAUAGGAGCUCCUGCUGCAUGGUGGGGGUUGGAAAGUUUCGGCGGUUGGGGAUGGACUCGCGGCUUAUCAGCUUGUUGGUGGGGUAGUGGCUUACCAAGGCUUUGACGGGUAGCCGGCCUGAGAGGGUGACCGGCCACAUUGGGACUGAGAUACGGCCCAGACUCCUACGGGAGGCAGCAGUGGGGAAUAUUGCACAAUGGGCGGAAGCCUGAUGCAGCAACGCCGCGUGCGGGAUGACGGCCUUCGGGUUGUAAACCGCUUUCGCCUGUGACGAAGCGUGAGUGACGGUAAUGGGUAAAGAAGCACCGGCUAACUACGUGCCAGCAGCCGCGGUGAUACGUAGGGUGCGAGCGUUGUCCGGAUUUAUUGGGCGUAAAGGGCUCGUAGGUGGUUGAUCGCGUCGGAAGUGUAAUCUUGGGGCUUAACCCUGAGCGUGCUUUCGAUACGGGUUGACUUGAGGAAGGUAGGGGAGAAUGGAAUUCCUGGUGGAGCGGUGGAAUGCGCAGAUAUCAGGAGGAACACCAGUGGCGAAGGCGGUUCUCUGGGCCUUUCCUGACGCUGAGGAGCGAAAGCGUGGGGAGCGAACAGGCUUAGAUACCCUGGUAGUCCACGCUGUAAACGGUGGGCACUAGGUGUGGGGUCCAUUCCACGGGUUCCGUGCCGUAGCUAACGCUUUAAGUACCCCGCCUGGGGAGUACGGCCGCAAGGCUAAAACUCAAAGGAAUUGACGGGGCCCCGCACAAGCGGCGGAGCAUGCGGAUUAAUUCGAUGCAACGCGUAGAACCUUACCUGGGUUUGACAUGGAUCGGGAGUGCUCAGAGAUGGGUGUGCCUCUUUUGGGGUCGGUUCACAGGUGGUGCAUGGCUGUCGUCAGCUCGUGUCGUGAGAUGUUGGGUUAAGUCCCGCAACGAGCGCAACCCUUGUUCACUGUUGCCAGCACGUUAUGGUGGGGACUCAGUGGAGACCGCCGGGGUCAACUCGGAGGAAGGUGGGGAUGACGUCAAGUCAUCAUGCCCCUUAUGUCCAGGGCUUCACGCAUGCUACAAUGGCUGGUACAGAGAGUGGCGAGCCUGUGAGGGUGAGCGAAUCUCGGAAAGCCGGUCUCAGUUCGGAUUGGGGUCUGCAACUCGACCUCAUGAAGUCGGAGACGCUAGUAAUCGCAGAUCAGCAACGCUGCGGUGAAUACGUUCCCGGG